rnacentral:rRNA from 1 species
GGGGAGCGGCAGACGGGUGAGUAACGCGUGGGAAUCUACCCUUUUCUACGGAAUAACGCAGGGAAACUUGUGCUAAUACCGUAUGAGCCCUUCGGGGGAAAGAUUUAUCGGGAAAGGAUGAGCCCGCGUUGGAUUAGCUAGUUGGUGGGGUAAAGGCCUACCAAGGCGACGAUCCAUAGCUGGUCUGAGAGGAUGAUCAGCCACAUUGGGACUGAGACACGGCCCAAACUCCUACGGGAGGCAGCAGUGGGGAAUAUUGGACAAUGGGCGCAAGCCUGAUCCAGCCAUGCCGCGUGAGUGAUGAAGGCCCUAGGGUUGUAAAGCUCUUUCACCGGUGAAGAUAAUGACGGUAACCGGAGAAGAAGCCCCGGCUAACUUCGUGCCAGCAGCCGCGGUAAUACGAAGGGGGCUAGCGUUGUUCGGAAUUACUGGGCGUAAAGCGCACGUAGGCGGACAUUUAAGUCAGGGGUGAAAUCCCGGGGCUCAACCCCGGAACUGCCUUUGAUACUGGGUGUCUAGAGUCCGGAAGAGGUGAGUGGAAUUCCGAGUGUAGAGGUGAAAUUCGUAGAUAUUCGGAGGAACACCAG